CCUACGGGGGGCAGCAGUGGGGAAUAUUGCACAAUGGGCGAAAGCCUGAUGCAGCGACGCCGCGUGAGCGAUGAAGGCCUUCGGGUCGUAAAGCUCUGUCCGCAGGGAAGAUAAUGACGGUACGUGAGGAAGAAGCCCCGGCUAACUACGUGCCAGCAGCCGCGGUAAUACGUAGGGGGCUAGCGUUAUCCGGAAUUACUGGGCGUAAAGGGAGCGUAGGUGGUUUGUUAAGUCAGAGGUGAAAGGGGAGGGCUCAACCGCAGCAAGCCUUUGAAACUGGGAAACUUGAGUGCAGGAGAGGUGAGUGGAAUUCCUAGUGUAGCGGUGAAAUGCGUAGAUAUUAGGAGGAACACCAGUUGCGAAGGCGGCUUUCUGGACUGUAACUGACGCUGAGGCACGAAAGCGUGGGGAGCAAACAGGAUUAGAUACCCGUGUAGUC
rnacentral:rRNA from 1 species